ensembl:miRNA Gm23636 predicted gene, 23636
UGUAUGCAUAUAUGUGUGUGUGUGUGUGUAUGUGUGUGUAUAUAUACACACACAACACACAUAUAUAUGUCACAUAUAUAC